rnacentral:sRNA from 1 species
GGAGAGACAGGAAUUCUUUAUUCCAGACAGUAGACCAAUAGACCUUCCUUGAGAAAGCUCCAAGAGUGGAGAGGAUUGAGUGGAGCAAAGGCUUGUGGAGGAGACAGUUUAAGUAUUACCUUCAGGAAAUUCAGUAUGGGAGGGGAUAAGGAAGGGAAACCUCAGCCUGGGCAAAGGCUUGAUACUGAGAGACUUAGAUGCUUCCCUCAGGGCAGCAACAGCCAUAAGGAAGAGCAUUUUAGGCAUAUGGCCCAACUAGGGCGCAAAGGUCCAGAGGUAGGAAGGCUCAGGCAUAUUCAGCCCUUGAGGAUGUUAAUGAAGAGUUAUCAGGCAGAGUGCUGCGGCUCUGCCUUGAGCCCCAUCUUGUCGCUCCAGGUCGUGGGUGAGCCUGUACUGUGUGCUUAGUAAGGGGGAACUGGGCUUCUACAAGGACUCCAAGGGCCCGGCAUCUGGGAGCACACACGGUGGGGAACCGCUGCUCAGCCUGCACAAGGCCACCAGUGAGGUGGCUAGUGACUACAAGAAAAAGAAGCAUGUCUUCAAGCUCCAGACCCAGGAUGGCAGUGAGUUUUUGCUCCAGGCAAAAGAUGAGGAGGAGAUGAACGGCUGGCUGGAGGCUGUGGCUUCCUCCGUGGCGGAACACGCAGAGAUGGCCCGCUGGGGCCAGACACUACCCACUACUUCAUCCACAGAUGAGGGCAACCCUAAGAGGGAAGGCGGAGAUCGCAGGGCCAGUGGGCGCAGGAAGUGACUUCCCAC